ACGAGUUUGAUCCUGGCUCAGAUUGAACGCUGGCGGCAUGCUUUACACAUGCAAGUCGAACGGUAACAGGCCUUCGGGUGCUGACGAGUGGCGAACGGUGAGUAAUGCAUCGGAACGUGCCCAAUCGGUGGGGGAUAACGUAGCGAAAGUUACGCUAAUACCGCAUAAGCCCUGAGGGGGAAAGCAGGGGAUCGCAAGACCUUGCGCGAAUGGAGCGGCCGAUGUCAGAUUAGCUAGUUGGUGGGGUAAAGGCCUACCAAGGCGACGAUCUGUAGCGGGUCUGAGAGGAUGAUCCGCCACACUGGGACUGAGACACGGCCCAGACUCCUACGGGAGGCAGCAGUGGGGAAUUUUGGACAAUGGGCGCAAGCCUGAUCCAGCCAUGCCGCGUGCGGGACGAAGGCCUUCGGGUUGUAAACCGCUUUCAGCCGGAAAGAAAUCGCCAAGGCUAAUAUCCUUGGUGGAUGACGGUACCGGAAGAAGAAGCACCGGCUAACUACGUG
rnacentral:rRNA from 1 species